CCUACGGGUGGCAGCAGUGGGGGAUAUUGCACAAUGGGGGAAACCCUGAUGCAGCGACGCCGCGUGGGUGAAGAAGCACCUCGGCGCGUAAAGCCCUGUCAGCAGGGAAGAAAAUGACGGUACCUGAAGAAGAAGCACUUGCCAAAUACGUGCCAGCAGCCGCGGUCAUACGGAGGGGCAAAGCGUUCGCCGGAUUUACUGGGGGUAAAGGGGGCGCAGACGGCGAUGCAAGCCAGGAGUGAAAGCCCGGGGCCCAACCCCGGAACUGCUCUUGGAACUGGGUGGCUAGAGUGCAGGAGAGGGAGGCGGAAUUCCAGGUGUAGCGGUGAAAUGCGUAGAGAUGUGGAGGAACACCGGUGGCGAAGGCGGCCCGCUGGACUACAACUGACGUUGAGGCGCGAAAGCGUGGGGAGCAAACAGGAUUAGAUACCCCAGUAGUC
rnacentral:rRNA from 1 species